rnacentral:rRNA from 1 species
AGUGAGCGCUGGCGGUAGGCCUAACACAUGCAAGUCGAACGGCAGCACAGUAAGAGCUUGCUCUUACGGGUGGCGAGUGGCGGACGGGUGAGGAAUACAUCGGAAUCUACUUUUUCGUGGGGGAUAACGUAGGGAAACUUACGCUAAUACCGCAUACGACCUACGGGUGAAAGCAGGGGAUCUUCGGACCUUGCGCGAUUGAAUGAGCCGAUGUCGGAUUAGCUAGUUGGCGGGGUAAAGGCCCACCAAGGCGACGAUCCGUAGCUGGUCUGAGGGGAUGAUCAGCCACACUGGAACUGAGACACGGUCCAGACUCCUACGGGAGGCAGCAGUGGGGAAUAUUGGACAAUGGGCGCAAGCCUGAUCCAGCCAUACCGCGUGGGUGAAGAAGGCCUUCGGGUUGUAAAGCCCUUUUGUUGGGAAAGAAAAGCAGCAGGUUAAUACCCCGCUGUUCUGACGGUACCCAAAGAAUAAGCACCGGCUAACUUCGUG